rnacentral:rRNA from 1 species
AUUGAACGCUGGCGGCAGGCCUAACACAUGCAAGUCGAACGAGUGGCGGACGGGUGAGUAAUGUCUGGGAAACUGCCUGAUGGAGGGGGAUAACUACUGGAAACGGUAGCUAAUACCGCAUACCAUCGGAUGUGCCCAGAUGGGAUUAGCUAGUGGGUGGGGUAAAGGCUUACCAAGGCGACGAUCCCUAGCGGGUCUGAGAGGAUGACCAUGCACACGGGAACUGAGCUACGGUCCAGACUCCUCCGGGAGGCAGCAGUGGGGAAUAUUGCACAAUUGGCGCAAGCCUGAUGCAGCCAUGCCGCGUGUAUGAAGAAGGCCUUCGGGUUGUAAAGUACUUUCAGCGGGGAGGCGUUACCCGCAGAAUAAGCACCGGCGAACUCCGUGCCAGCCGCCGCGGUAAUAC